rnacentral:rRNA from 1 species
AGGAAAAGAAACCAACAGGGAUUGCCUUAGUAGCGGCGAGUGAAGCGGCAAAAGCUCAAAUUUGAAAUCUGGCUCUUUCAGAGUCCGAGUUGUAAUUUGAAGAAGGUAUCUUUGGGUCUGGCUCUUGUCUAUGUUUCUUGGAACAGAACGUCACAGAGGGUGAGAAUCCCGUGCGAUGAGAUGAUCCAGGCCUAUGUAAAGUUCCUUCGAAGAGUCGAGUUGUUUGGGAAUGCAGCUCUAAGUGGGUGGUAAAUUCCAUCUAAAGCUAAAUAUUGGCGAGAGACCGAUAGCGAACAAGUACAGUGAUGGAAAGAUGAAAAGAACUUUGAAAAGAGAGUGAAAAAGUACGUGAAAUUGUUGAAAGGGAAGGGCUUGAGAUCAGACUUGGUAUUUUGUAUGUUACUUCUUCGGGGGUGGCCUCUACAGUUUAUCGGGCCAGCAUCAGUUUGGGCGGUAGGAGAAUUGCGUUGGAAUUGUGGCACGGCUUCGGUUGUGUGUUAUAGCCUUCGUCGAUACUGCCAGCCUAGACUGAGGACUGCGGUUUAUACCUAGGAUGUUGGCAUAAUGAUCUUAAGUCGCCCGUC